rnacentral:rRNA from 1 species
UACGAAGGGGGCUAGCGUUGCUCGGAAUCACUGGGCGUAAAGGGUGCGUAGGCGGGUCUUUAAGUCAGGGGUGAAAUCCUGGAGCUCAACUCCAGAACUGCCUUUGAUAAUGGCGAUCUUGAGUCCGGGAGAGGUGAGUGGAACUGCGAGUGUAGAGGUGAAAUUCGUAGAUAUUCGCAAGAACACCAGUGGCGAAGGCGGCUCACUGGCCCGGUACUGACGCUGAGGUGCGAAAGCGUGGGGAGCAAACAGG